UACGUAGGGUGCGAGCGUUAUCGGAAUUACUGGGCGUAAAGCGUGCGCAGGCGGUUUUGUAAGUUAGAGGUGAAAGCCCGGAGCUCAACUCCGGAACUGCCUUUAAAACUGCAUCGCUUGAAUCCAGGAGAGGUGAGUGGAAUUCCGAGUGUAGAGGUGAAAUUCGUAGAUAUUCGGAAGAACACCAGUGGCGAAGGCGGCUCACUGGACUGGUAUUGACGCUGAGGUGGCGAAAGCGUGGGGAGCAAACAGG
rnacentral:rRNA from 1 species